rnacentral:rRNA from 1 species
AUUGAACGCUGGCGGCAGGCCUAACACAUGCAAGUCGAGCGGAUGAAGGGAGCUUGCUCCUGGAUUCAGCGGCGGACGGGUGAGUAAUGCCUAGGAAUCUGCCUGGUAGUGGGGGAUAACGUCCGGAAACGGGCGCUAAUACCGCAUACGUCCUGAGGGAGAAAGUGGGGGAUCUUCGGACCUCACGCUAUCAGAUGAGACUAGGUCGGAUUAGCUAGUUGGUGGGGUAAAGGCUUACCAAGGCGACGAUCCGUAACUGGUCUGAGAGGAUGAUCAGUCACACUGGAACUGAGACACGGUCCAGACUCCUACGGGAGGCAGCAGUGGGGAAUAUUGGACAAUGGGCGAAAGCCUGAUCCAGCCAUGCCGCGUGUGUGAAGAAGGUCUUCGGAUUGUAAAGCACUUUAAGUUGGGAGGAAGGGCAGUAAGUUAAUACCUUGCUGUUUUGACGGUACCAACAGAAUAAGCACCGGCUAACUUCGUG